CUAGAACGACGGGUAGAGGAGGAAAGGGUGUCCGGAAGGGCGGGGUUCGCACGGAAGAUGCAAAAACUGAGGCUUAGAAAAAUAACCUGUGAGAUAUAAAAGAGGAGGGGGAGAGAGUGCCAGAGGAACAUUGAUUGACUCUCAAAGCAUCCUGAAGGAGUAUUAAACCCAUGAUCUAGUAACCAUCCUAAUGGAUGUGAGGUGCAACAGACUUCCUUUUAAAAUCUAAGUACAUCUGCAACUACAUCUAAGCACCCAACUGUGUGUUUUUAUCCUGAAAGACAGCCAG